AAACACACCUUGUUACUUUUUUUACUAAUUUACCACCACAAGUCCAAACUCUGCUUAGAUUGCUUACUAAUGAAGCACCCAAACCUAAGUAUCUUUGUCCUGUCAAAUCCUCACAAAUUUAGUGUUUCUGUGUGUAAAAAGUAUAAAAGCUGCCUGCUUUGGUCACUUCUGAGCGUUAAUUUUAUGAUCUCCCACGUGUACGCAUUAAAUUCGAGUUUUCUCUUUAAUCUGUCUUGUGUUAAUUUUACUAUGAGGCCAGCCACAAGAACUCAAGAGGAAUAAGGGGGAAAUUUCCCCCUCCCGGACAGGGGCAUCUACCACUUCCACUCAUACCUGCUUCGCCGCAAGGGAAUCUGAAAAGUGAAACCUGGAGCUGUAGAACUGUAUCUUAUGGAAGGACAGAACUGAUUUAGAUGGACAGCUAGCCAUCUCUGCCACAUACCAAUGCCCAAAAAUUAUCAUAUCGCUUGUCACUCUACCAUUAAUGAAGGCUUUUCGAGACCUUCGACAACCUUUUCUGAGAAAUGCAACUGUCCCUGGAAGAGCAUGCCUGGACUUACUACCUCCACAUCUGUAACACAAGGGAACCACAGACAAUACCAAUCAUUUAUCAAUUUAGCUAAUCAGCCAAACAUGAAUCCCUUGGUCCCACCCAUGGAGAGAUCCUGAUUAAGAGAGUCUGGGAAUAAUGGAUUCAAUGAUACGCAUCAAAUUCUGGUCCGGAAUCCACAAUCAGCAGAAAUCACAAGUGAAUUACACACUUUGAAAGAAGUGGUUUGUUGCUUGCUCUAGGUUUAAAACACAAAGUUUCCACUAUCCUUAGUAACUGACAAGCAUGCUGGGCUUUGGCUACAUUUGAUGAUUACACUGCUAUUAUUCCAAAUGCAUCAAACAAUAAAUAUCUUUUUCCUAUUAGGCUUCCUAUUACCUUACUUGUUUUUAUUUAAAACUUUUUGUGUUUUUGUUUAAAGGGGGGAAAAAGCAUAUAAGAGAAAAUAAAAGAGAAAUAGGAACAUGCAACACAUUGAAAAGCACUGGCAAUUAAGACUGAGAUUAUCCAGCUUCAGCAAAAUGCAUCUGAAACCAGAAGAGCUGAAGUACUUAAAAUUUGUUUCAAGAAGCCUAUGUUCGGAUCUCCAACAAGCACUACAUGUGUCUCAAAUGCAGACAUCCCUGCUAUGGAAGGACUCUCCUGGCUGUCAGCUUAGUAAGGGGCUGACUCUGCUGCAAAGUAUGACAUUACACAAUUACAAAUGCUUGACAGUUCAUGUGGUUUAGACAAUUUGAGCACUCUGAAUUGAAUACCAAACAAAAACAGCAGGGCUAUGUGGUUUCAUAUAAUUUGACUUAUGGCUUCUGGAACAUCUUUUAAUUUUUUCUGUAUUUGUUAAUUUUAAGGAGUGACUGUCAUACUACGGUGGCUUAAAAUAAAGUUUACAAUAUAACCAAUGUUUAUCUAAGAAAUAGUCCUCAUAAUAUGAGAUAAUUAUGAUACAAAAAAAUUAUCAAAGGCUAGAAAACAAUAGGCAAAGGGAGAGUCCCCCAAAGUGCCCUUUUUAGCAACCAACUGCCUAGGCAAAGAAGUAAGAUUUCCCAAAUCCUAUGGUGUGAUCUUACCAAUUUCUAAUGAACUGGAAGAUGCAAUCCUUAAAACUAAAAACAAAAUGCAAUUACUUUUCUGCUUUAGGGACUCAGCAUCUGCUAGAAUGACCAUCAUAUACGCUGGUUUAGAAACAAACCUACUAAGAUAAAGAAAGCAACUUCAAAAAUGCGGGUAUAUACAGCCUUCCCUCUCCACAGUCUUCCACACUCCCAUUCCUAUUUUGACUUUUCCUUUUUGUCUCGAAACUCCAACGCUCUCAGGCAUAACACUCUUGUCUGGCUGUCCUCUCCCUCUGACCAGGUCUGACAGGGUGUUUAGGAGUCAGACAGCCUCUACCGUUUUCACCUCUGUAUCCACACACCUUUCCUCCCCUAGGAAACAGGAGGAGUCGUGGUACCAACCCCCAUAUGCUCACUGUGAGGCUCAAUCCUCAGUUAACUGAGGAUAAACUCAGUACGUAAUGUCCUUAGACCAGUGUUUGGCACCUGGCAAGUGCUCAGCAAGUAUUAACCAUCAUCAUCAUCAAAAACAAUCUUCUGUUUGAUAUCCCUACUGCUGAAAGGACUUUCAGACCAUAAUGCUGCAAGAACAUAUCUUCCCCACCAUCACCCCCACCAGAUCUUUCUCAUACAAACUGAAUAGUCCCUGUGUAGACAGACUUCGCAAAAAGACAAGACAUAAGUGUAUGUUUUUUAAAAAUUUGGCAGGUACAAAAAUAAUUUGAAUAUGUGCGAGGCACUAAGCAUAACAUAACAAAACCCUGAGUACAGAUCACAGUUUAAGAAAAUUAAAUUCAGGGGGCCAGCCCCAUGACCAAGCAGUUAAAAUUCUGCACACUCAGCUUCAGGAGCCUGGGUUCACAGGUUCGCAUCCCAGAUACAAACCUACUCCACUCAUCAGCCAUGCUGUGGAGGCAUCCCACACACAAAACAGAGGGAGACAGGCAAUAGAUGUUAGCUCAAGACGAGUCUUCCCCACCAAAAAAAAAAAAAAAAAAAUUAAAUUCUUAUCUUUCAGUUCUGUUUCGGUAUCCCUAUCACCUUCUCUCUUCUAAUAGAGCUACCCACUAAUUUGAAUGUGUUUGUAAUUAAUCUGUUUUAUUACUUUGCCAUAUCUGUAUUCCUAACAGUAGGGACUUUUGCUUUACAUGUUUCAAAACUUUAAAAAAGGAAAAAUACUAUGUGCAUUCUUCUGGAAGUAGCUUUUUUUCCUCAAUAUGAUAUUCCUGACAAUAAUCCUCAGUGGUGCAUGUGGCUAAAAUCCAUUCAGUUGCACUCCUAUAGGAAUACAAUUUAUCCAUUCUCCUCUGAUGGACACUGCUUCCAGUUUUUGCCUUUUACAAACAGUGCAACUGUGAGCAUUCUUGUCAUGUCCUCAGGCACUCACAUACAUGCGUUUCUCUGGGGCAGCAGUUUGCCAAUUUUAGCAUGCAUUAAACCACCUGAACGGCUUGUUAAGACUGAAAGCUGGCUCAUCCCCAAAGCUUCUGAUUCAAUAGGUCUAGGGUGGAGCCCCCAAUUUUGCAUUUAUAGUAAGUUCCUGUGAGAUGCUGAAAACACAAUUUAGAAGCACUGCUCCAGGAUAAAGACCCAGGAGUAGAAUCACUGGGUCAAAGUGUACAUCCAUCUUUAACUUUACUAGGUAAUCCCAAAGUUAUGGUACCAAUUUGCAAUCCCACCAGUUGUGUGUAAGCAUUCCAGUUAUUUCCGACCUUCCUAAACAGCAGACAUUGUCCGAUUUUUACACUGUUGCCAACCCAAUGUUAUGAAACUAUACACCACGUUGGUCCUAAACUGCCUUUCCCUCAUUACUAAUGAAGUCGAGAAUCUCUGCAUGCAGGUUUCCUCUUCUGUGAGAUGCCUACUUGGGUCAUAGGCCCAUUUUUCUAUUGUUCUUACUGAUUUGUCACUGUUUACCUUUCUAGAUACAAUCCUUUCUCAAUAAUACGUACUGAAAAUA